rfam:Capsicum annuum cultivar Zunla-1 chromosome 9, whole genome shotgun sequence
AUAUUAUGGUUCGGACACUGGGUCAUCUUUUUCUUGAAUCUCUCCUAAGUUUCAUGUAAAGCCUCAUUUGGAAACUGUCUGAAAUUGUUGAUCUCAUCUCUUAAUUU